AACCCAUGGUGAGGGAACCUUCUUAAAAUGUCCUUGUAUCUCUCCCAUACAUCGUAGAGUGUUUCUAAAUCCAUCUGCACAAAAGAAAGGAUAUCAUUAUGUAAUU
rnacentral:snoRNA from 1 species